rnacentral:rRNA from 1 species
UACGGAGGAGGCAAGCGUUAUCCGGAAUUAUUGGGCGUAAAGCGUCCGCAGGUGGCUAUUCAAGUCUGCGGUCAAAGACUGGGGCUUAACCCUGGAAAGGCCGUGGAAACUGAAGAGCUAGAGUGCAGUAGGGGUAGAGGGAAUUCCCGGUGUAGCGGUGAAAUGCGUAGAGCUCGGGAAGAACAUCGGCGGCGAAAGCGCUCUGCUGGACUGCAACUGACACUCAGGGACGAAAGCUAGGGGAGUGAAUGGG